rnacentral:rRNA from 1 species
GGAAUCCGCGGGGACCAUCCCGCAAGGCUAAAUACUCCCUAGUGACCGAUAGUGAACCAGUACCGUGAGGGAAAGGUGAAAAGCACCCCGGAAGGGGAGUGAAAUAGAUCCUGAAACCGUGUGCCUACAACAAGUCAAAGCUCGUUAAUGAGUGAUGGCGUGCCUUUUGUAGAAUGAACCGGCGAGUUACGAUUGCAUGCGAGGUUAAGUCGAAGAGACGGAGCCGCAGCGAAAGCGAGU